AACGUAGGAGACGAACGUUAUCCGGAGUUACUGGGCGUAAAGGGCGUGUAGGCGGUUUGUUAAGUCUGGCGUGAAAGCUCUCGGCUAAACCGGGAGAGGUCGUUGGAUACUGGCGAACUAGAGGAUGGUAGAGGCGUGUGGAAUUCCGGGUGUAGUGGUGAAAUGCGUAGAGAUCCGGAGGAACACCAGUGGCGAAGGCGACACGCUGGGCCAUACCUGACGCUAAAGCGCGACAGCAUGGGGAGCAAACGGGG
rnacentral:rRNA from 1 species